rnacentral:rRNA from 1 species
UCGAGAAUCUUCGGCAAUGGGCGCAAGCCUGACCGAGCGAUGCCGCGUGCGGGAUGAAGGCCUUCGGGUUGUAAACCGCUGUCGUAGGGGAGCAAGGGGAAACCUUGAGCGAUCCUAGGAGGAAGGACGGGCUAAGUUCGUGCCAGCAGCCGCGGUAAUACGAACCGUCCAAACGUUAUUCGGAAUCACUGGGCUUAAAGAGUCCGUAGGCGGCUUGGUAAGUAGGGUGUGAAAUCCCACGGCUCAACCGUGGAACUGCGCCCUAAACUACCAAGCUUGAGGGAGCUAGAGGUAAGCGGAACUGAUGGUGGAGCGGUGAAAUGCGUUGAUAUCAUCAGGAACACCGGAGGCGAAGGCGGCUUACUGGGGCUUUUCUGACGCUGAGGGACGAAAGCUAGGGUAGCGAACGG